UUCCAUCCUUGUGGAGGGCAUUGCGUCUCUGACGGCUCCAUUCCUGGGGCUCACAACAUCCGCAGAUUCCGCUCCCUUUUUUUCUUUCAUAAACCCCAUUGAAUACUGAAUAAAUAAAAAGUAGGCAGGAACCAUGCCGUCUAAUAGGCAGGAGGAAAAGCUGCCGACAAAUCCGCGGGAGUUCCCUGAUAACCGGACGCCGAAUUUCAUCCUCAAGGCAAAGAAUGGCCACUUUCACUUCAUGAUGGUGGAGCCCGAUGUGUCCAAGAACUACCUGUGGUACAUGUCGGAGCCGAAGCUCGUCAGAGUUCCCGAGCUCGAGGCGGAGAUGCGCGUUCCGGGACGCCGCUGGUACGCGACGGACAAGGCUGGCUUUGAGCUGCAGAGGAGGAACAACGCCGUCGCGACUGAGGGUGAGCCGUACGUCUGCCUACACAAUAUUAAGGACCCCGAGCUGUACUGGUUCGGUAAGCGCCACGCAGAGCCGCCGGUGGAACAGGUGACGCUGGUGAUUUCCGUCGGAGAGCUGUACUUGAAGAGCGCUAUUCACCGCAAGCGGCUGGUCCGUGUGCUUAUGGACAGUAUACGUCGCGUUCUCCAGAACCCGCAGGUCUUCCGAAACGGUGACACCAUGAUCGAGGUGCGCAAGGAGAUGCCUACGAAGGAGCAGUUGAAGCUGCUUGCGCUGCUGCCCGGUAUUGCCAAGAUUUACGAGGCCUCUCAGGAGAGGGGGGAGCGCAAGGGCGAUCCUCGCGGCGCGUUCAUCUGCUCCGGCGCUCAGGGCAUCCCCAUUACACCCGAUCAGCGUGUGCUCGCUCUCAUCAGUGGUGGUAUCGACAGCCCCGUGGCGGCGUAUCGGAUGAUGACGCGCGGCUGCCUCGUCAAUGGUGUGCAUUUUCUCAACAGCACCAACGACACUGCCUCCGUUAUGGAGAAGAACCGGCGCAUCUGCGAGCGCCUGUCGAGCGUGCAAGGUCGCUUGGACAUGCACUACGUGGACAUCAGCACACUGCAGUCGCAGAUCGUGGCGAACGUGCCGAACCACAACCGCACCUUAAUCUACAAGUGGUUUAUGCUGUCGCUUGCAGCCAGCUUUGACGACUCGUGCUUCAUUGUCACCGGUGACUCUGCUGGGCAGGUGGCAUCGCAGACGGUGCACAACAUCAGCACGCUGUACCCCACCGUAUGCAAGGCCGUCAUUGCCCCCCUGAUUGGUGUAACGAAGAACUUUAUCAUUGACGAGGCGCGCAAGAUCAACACCUUCGACUUUUCCAUUCAGGAGGGCGCGGACUGCUGCCAGUACAUGAUGUGCAAGUCCGGUGCAAAUCUGAUGAUGGGUCGCCGAACCCUCGAGGCGUAUGUACGUCGCAUCAAGCUGACCGAGCUCAAGGUGAUGAAGGAGGUGUACCGCGACGGGAAGCUGUGCGAGUCGUCCGAGUUCACAUACUAUCCUCAGUCCGGCGUGCGUGUGCCGAAUAACACUCCGCCUCCAGCGGCCUUGGUGCAGGAUGCUUCGAGCGAGGACGAUGUGCACGACGUAGUCUACUUCGACGCCGCUGCCGGAACCAAGAUUGCAGAGCAGGUCCAGAUGGCCAUGAUGCGCGCCCCCGAAGGGAAUCCGAAUAGCAUGCACAUGAGCGGCCGCGAGGCUCGCAUGGCAGUGGAGAAGGUGCGUAGCCAGCUGGCAAAGGUGAUGCAUGUACCGGCGAACGACAUCAUUUUCACCUCAGGUGGCACAGAGUCGAACAACAUUGCGCUGAACGGCUACCGCGUCGUGCGCGAGCCCUGGUCGCACGCCUCGACGAUCGAGAAUUCAAACAUUCCUGACGGGGCCACUGUGGUGAAGGUGGUGGACCUUGUAAACCACGAGACGGGCAGCAUUGAUCGCAACCUGACCCGCCCUGAGGGCGGCCGCCUUCACAUUGAUGCAAGCCAAGGCCUGCUUAAGGUCGAUUUUGGCUCUCUCGACCUGAGUGAAGUCGACUCCAUCACGGUCACGGCGCACAAGAUUAACGGACCCGUUGGUGUUGGCGCGGUUUACCUGCGCGACCUGACCUGCAACAAGCUCUUCAGUGGCGGCUCGCAAGAGAAGGGCAUCCGCCCGGGGACGGAGAACGUUCCUGCGAUUGUCGGCUUCGGUGCAGCUCUAGCCCUCGACCGCAGCCACUCGCUCCAUAAGGAGAUCGACACUCUCAUGACGGAGGAGUUGGAAAAGAUGGGAUGUGAGAUCAACCGUCGAGGUGAGACCAGUGGCUACAUCGUGCACGCCACCCUUCCGCCAGGCUACAGCAACACAGAUGUAGUGUCACGCCUCUCCACCAAGUACCAUGUCGAAAUCGGCACCGGAUCUGCGUGUAAGACAAAUGAGGUGAACACCACCGUCUACGACACGCUGGGCAAGACACCUGCGCCGACGCGCUCCAUCCGCAUCAGCUGGGAUUCUUUUGCCACCUUGAACGACGCGGAGCGUGUCUUGAGCGCCUUGAAGAAAGUCCUUGGCGAGAUUGAGCUGAUGCGCUAGCUUGUCAGUAUACCCUCUCCAGUUCCACACAUGCGCACACGUGUGCCCUUUUCCCAGCUGCUUUCGCAUUGUAUUUUUCUCCGUACUGUAAAUGCCGGCGCUUCCAGCCUGUCGCGUGCGCCUCUCAUUUCGGUCUGUCUGUGGUGAUUGCGACUUGGUGCACUACGGCGAAGUGGUCAAGACUGCGAAGUCGGCAGUGCCAGAGGCUCCGACGACAGCUGCGCGGAUCGCGGACUUGGCCAUCGGCCUCAGACGCCAGGCCGACAUCCCCUGCAACCGCGCUACAUGAUGCGACAUGCAGCCACAAGAGCUCCUUGGCGGCGGCUGUCUCAUACCAGAAGAACAAGGAUGCUGAGCCUACGAGCCGACAGGAGACCGUGCUUGCCCAGUCCCGCACGGGCACCUGCCCGCACUUUGGAUCCCUGCAGCGGCGGGUGGCUGGCAGUGACAAGAUGGAGUGCAGCUGGUGUGCUGCCUAUCACUGAGCAAUCAUAGUGGCGCCCCCCCCACCAGUGCUUUCCUACGAGGGCGUCCGACCCCGCGUUGUACCCCGGCAUGCUACGCGAAAUUCGCGGGUCGCCCUGCGCUCACAGCACACCUGAUUGCACUCUGUGAUCUUGCAUGCAAUGACCUGACUACCCACAUCUCACUCGCGCCGCAUGAAGCUCGUCCGUGGGAUGUCUACCGCUGCCCCCUUGUGCCCCUUCAGUGCGGCAGGCUGUGAGCUCUUUGUGUGCUCACGCGCAUGCGUAUCCGCUGACCCCUUCCGCCUUACUCAGCCACGCGUGUGAAAGGCGUUCGGGUUCAGAGGAGGGCGGAAUGCUUUCAGCUGCCACAGACUCAUAGCAGCGUCCCAACUGUCGUGGCGCGUGCGGGCAAGCCAUCUAGACAUGCACCCAGACAACCAUGUCGCUCUGAGGAAGGCCCCAGGAUGCAGAGAUGCGAGCACUGUGCGCGCACGCUGUCAAACACCGCUGGCAUGGUGCGCCGCAUCCGAACGGGGCAUCCAGAGGCCAGAAGAGCACAAGCGAUGCACGAAAAAGGCGCAAAGAGACCCAAUACGAAUCAGCCCCAAAGCGCAUGUGCGCGAGACACGCGGCAUCUCCUACAUCCGACGGGAUGGGCUGAUGCGGCGCAGAUGCCGGAAGCAUGGCGAGGGCGCCACGAAUUUGCACCAUCGAGUCUUCGACACUCCCAUGUGAAGAGCCUCCGAGCUACAUUAUGGUAUGCCGCGGCUGGAGGCGAGGCGGGAAGAAGCAUGACACACACGCAGAGUGUGCAGGGCCUCGGAGGACCCUGGCCUGAGGCCGGCCAACUUCCUAAAUUCAUCCGGCAUGCGCCUGGAUCCAUUCCCUACCACCCGUACGGAAGACGCCACCGUCUUUGCCCUCGAGCAGGACCCCAGACGCGACCCUCUUGGAUCAAGGCAUGCACUCCAGCCGAGUAUGUCGCCCUGAUCGCGCUGCAGGCAUCUAAGGAAGUAACGAGGAGCGAGAAGAAGAGCGUGCUUGACAAAGGCCCGAUUGGACGGCAGAGGGUUCUUCCUGGAGGACCAGAGCGUAGCCGUGGUGCAACAGAGGCGGCUGAAGUGCUGUUUUCGUGUGCGCAUAUUUUCCGACGUUUACGUGGCCGAGUGAAACGCUGCGGAAAAAAGAUCCUCUGCCGUCCCUGAUGGUGGUGACACCUCGACGCGUGGUACCCAUGACUCUGUACACGCCCUGUGUGGGGAAGAAGCCAGGCAGCCCCUAUCCCCUGCCAAUGCUGCACCGCACCUGGCGGUGGCAGGGUCAGGCGCCUACGACGUGGGGGAGGUCAGAGCGAUGCAUCGCUGCUGACGUGGGCGGCCAGGUCGUGGAUGGCGCCGCGUCGGAGCGACCCGCGACCGUGCACCGGGCUGCGCCAUCCAUGCUAUAUGGGCGGAGUGUCAGCGCGACUCGACCGCGACCCGCCCGGCCCUCACUGCCUCCUGGUGUGUGGCGCCUGCGCCACGCCGAGGGAUGCGCCGGGUGGCGGCCGGCAUAGUGGGGGCAGCUGUGGGGCUGCGUGCGCAGAAGAGGCUGGCAGAGGCUGAGGCAGGGCCCGUGCUGAGAUGGCUGCGCCGGCGCACGGCUGUGAUGCGCGUGUCUCUAGCGCUGCUUCGCACCACGCGAUGGGGGCCUGCGACGGGCCGGGGCUAGCGUGCCCCUUCCGCCCAUGCUGUAAUGGCGGAAUGAGCGCGUUGAG
rnacentral:misc_RNA from 1 species